GGAAGUAAGUGUCACAUAAAUCUCCGACCCCAACCCCAACCCCAACCAGUUCAUAGAGUCCCAAAAAGUCUCACAAACCCUCAUGGCUCUCUCACGCCACUUCCUCCGUCGAUCCGCCUCUCUCCGUCGGUUCUCCACCGCUCCUACCACUACCACUACCUCUUCCGAGCGUCCUCACUCUCAUCGUAGCCUCCACGAAUUCCUCCCACCGACUUCUUACGCGAACUCCUGGAAUCCCCCUAGGACUCCAAAGGAGGCGGCCGCGCAGUUGGCUUUCCUCCGCCGUGACUACGAUCGCAAAGUGAAGCAGAUCCGCAAGGAGUAUAUCAAGGAAAUGGAGUUUCUGAGAAUCGAGAAGAUGCGGAAGGACGAGGCCAGGAAGGAGGCGUUGAGGAUCGUGAACGAGGAGAGGAAAGCGGCGAAGGAUGCGAAGAAGAAAGCGGAGGCCAUUGAGAGAGAGGCUGCGGAACAGGAGUUCCGGAAAAUGUUGAUGAAAGAGAGAGCAGAGAAGCUUGAAUAUUGGAGGGUAAGAGAAAAGAAAAUACAAGAGAAGAAAAGAGAGAAGAAUGAACUUCUGCGCAGACAAAGUUCUCAAUGGAUAGAAGAAUCUGCCAUAGAGAACUGGAGCUUCAACUUGAAGAAACUACACUAGACUGCCUCCUGCUGCCAGUCUGCCAGUAAGAAGAAUCUACACUACACCAGUUAUUUUUCCAUCGAUUUUAAAGGUGGCUUUGUACGCCAUAUAACAAGGAGCCGAGCCAACCGGCGCUGGAAUUUGGAUUUGGGAGUCAUAGGAAUGGGACCUCCCUCGUUACUGCAACUUCUAUAACCUAAAACAAAUGCACUAUCAAAU